CAGUACUGGAGACCGUAUCUUCAGAAGGAUAUUGAUACUUUAGAAAGAGUUCAGAGAAGGGCUACUAAACUAGUUCAUGGAUUGCAGGAUAAAACUUACCAGGAAAGGUUAAAGGAUCUUAACAUGUAUAGCUUGGAGGAAAGACAAGACUGGGGGGAUAUGAUAGAAACAUUUAAAUUCAAAAAGGGAAUCAACACAGUAAAGGAGGAGACUAUAUUUAAAAGAAGAAAAAUUACUAGAACAAGAGGACAUAGUCUUAAAUUAG